rnacentral:rRNA from 2 species
GGGUUGUGAGGUUAAGCGACUAAGCGUACACGGUGGAUGCCCUGGCAGUCAGAGGCGAUGAAGGGCGUGCUAAUCUGCGAUAAGCGCCGGUAAGGUGAUAUGAACCGUUAUAACCGGCGAUACCCGAAUGGGGAAACCCAGUGUGACUCGUCACACUAUCAUUAACUGAAUCCAUAGGUUAAUGAGGCGAACCGGGGGAACUGAAACAUCUAAGUACCCCGAGGAAAAGAAAUCAACCGAGAUUCCCCCAGUAGCGGCGAGCGAACGGGGAGGAGCCCAGAGCCUGAAUCAGCAUGUGUGUUAGUGGAAGCGUCUGGAAAGGCGCGCGAUACAGGGUGACAGCCCCGUACACAAAAGCGCAUGUGCUGUGAGCUCGAUGAGUAGGGCGGGACACGUGGUAUCCUGUCUGAAUAUGGGGGGACCAUCCUCCAAGGCUAAAUACUCCUGACUGACCGAUAGUGAACCAGUACCGUGAGGGAAAGGCGAAAAGAACCCCGGCGAGGGGAGUGAAAAAGAACCUGAAACCGUGUACGUACAAGCAGUGGGAGCCCCACCACUAAGCCAGUGGUGAACUCCACAUACGCAUCCUUUGCUGAGGAUACGGUUAACGGAGCGCAAGCGACGUUCAACCGCAAAAGAAGCAGAGGGGGCUUAGUGGUGGGGUGACUGCGUACCUUUUGUAUAAUGGGUCAGCGACUUAUAUUCUGUAGCAAGGUUAACCGUAU